AGUGCCCCAGGCGCUGGCCUGUACGGGCAGCAUCAGUGCUUUCUUAUGCUCUGCCUUCCAGCUGGGUUCAUUCGAAGAGGAAGCUGGGAGGCACCAGUGGGAGUGGGGGGAGGGAGGAAGGCCGGGCUCAUUUCUUGCUCCUCCCUGGUCUUCUGAAGGCCACAGCUGCCUUCCGACCGCCUCCGACCGCUGCAGCCAUGGCCACGGCUCCCUCCGCAUUCUGCUGCCUGCCCCUCCCUCUGCCCAUCAGGCUGGGGGUGGGAACGGCUGCCUGGGACGCUUCUCCGGCCCGUGUUGGCCUCCCUGAACCUUUCCUGUCCUUUGUACAGUAGCUCACCCUGUGUUUCUCUCCUCGCCCACCCAGCUGAGGACACCGUCCUUUUUUUUUGGCGGGACCCCGAGAGCAGCUUAGAAGGAGAGAGCUGGGCCCCUGCAGCGUUGUUGAGCCGCUGCACCGAUCCUGGGCCACCUGCCUGCGGACCUCACACCACGAGGUGAAUAAGCAAACCAGAAGCAGCUCUAUCACUGGAGUGUGGUUUGCCCGCAGUUGCCACUGAAUUCAUUCCCAGCUGAUUUACUAACAGGUAUUUUCAAACAAUCAAAACCCUUGGCUAAGACGUUCCUCAAAGAAAAUGAAUGGAUUCGGCCAUGGGAAGAGCCUUGAGUUGGCUGGAAGAAGGAGGGGGAAAAGGCUCUAUGAAGUGUGAGAAAACUUCAGUUGUUCCUCCCAAAUGGACAACUUCACUCAAGUUUAACGGUGAGUGUUUUCCCGCUGGUUUCCUCUCCUCUCUUCUAAGUGAAAACAGGAUUUUAAAUCUGUGAAUGUCGACACAGAAUCGAGGCCGCACAAGUUCAUCCUGUACCAAUAAACAGACUCAGCCCAGCCAAAGCUUUGGGAAAUCAAUCAAUAUCUUGUUUUUCUCAACUGAGGCUAGGAAAAGAGCACUCGUCCUUCAAAUGUCAGUAACAUCUGUGUUGCAACUCAGUCACUGGCAUCCAACUCACCCCAGCGGCCCCACACGUUUCCGUCCCGAGAAGCAGCCAACACUUCCCCGCCCGCGACACCCCCACCCCAACGCCAAAGGCCUCUCCACCUGAAGGCACUUUGUUCUGAAGUGUCCUUCUAUGAACGCGUCACUGGGCCUCAGACCACAGGGAAAGGGCAGGAGGGAAAUGCUCCCCCUCCUUGUGGUCCAGCCGGUUCACUCCACGUCCAGGGUCCAGUGGACACUGUCCCGCCUCUUCCGAGCACCUCUUUGUGGCCGUGCUGCGGGGAACCACAGGGGACUAAGACACACACCCGCUCCCGCAGGGUUCAUGGUCUAAUCUCACAGCCCUGGCACCGAUUACUAAGUGCUCAGGGAGCGGAGAGCGUGUAGGAGAGCAAGGAAGGGGAAGCCAUCUCCUCCGGGGAGGAUCCUGGUGGGACGGCUGAGCUGAGCCGGACGUGAAACGUGGCACCGCUCUCCCAGCCUCUGCUCCGGAAGCACACCUGCAAUAAAUACACGUUAACUCUGGGUUUUUGCUGCGCAAGAUGCUACAGCACACAGCAAACUGGGCUGACCUCUGUCAUAAUAGCCCACGUCUGCUGGUAAUUAUGUGUUUCCUAAUGCGAUUCCACCGAGGGAGCUCAUGACUGUGUGGUUUCUGCCCUCCCAACACCCGACACGGAAUCCAGCCCGCAGAGGGCUCCCCGUAACCGGCUGAUUGGUUGCUCGAUUACAUUUGGUAUAUACCCCAUGCUAGUGAUUCCAGGGCAAUCUUCCUGACUUCCUAAUUCACAAGGAAAUAAAUUACAGGGAAGGAGCUUUUAGUCCCUCCCAGCUUGAUUUGCCAAGACCUGAGGGAAAGAAAUCAGAAGAGACAGGCUGAGGGGACAUAGCAUUAUGCAUAUUUUUGGGUGAACGUUUUUAUUCAAGAGUCUGUGCUCACCAAAAUAGUGCCGACUUCCACGCACCAGAAGACGAGUCAGAAGAAAUGCAAGGGAUUACGAUGCAGUCUCUCCCAAAGCCUCGCUGCUCAAAGAGUGGUCCAGGGACCAGCGGCAGGCACGUCGCCUGGAGCUCGCUAGAACGCAGACUGGGGUCCCCAGAGACCUGCCUUAUGAGAACCUGCAGGCUAACAGGUCCCUGGGGGAUGUGGAGGAACACGUAAGUCUGAACGGCACUGUUUUCAAACCUUCCAAUUACAGAGUCACUAGCUUAUCUUCACAGAAAGGAGAAAGCAGCCAUGGGAAGAGCAGACCCGCGCACGCCCAGGGCAGAGCCCCCGCCCUGCCAUCAUCCACAGGGGCACGCACAGCGCACCUCCCAGCAGCGUGCUGGGCUCUCCAGGAAGAGGGCCUCUGUGGUCAGCUCCUGGAAGGCAUCCUUUCUUGAAUUUGCUGUGUGGAUGCUUUCCCAGCUCAGGAAAGGGACACCACAGGGUCAAUCAAUCAGUAAUGCUGAGCCAAACGAACGCUCUGACGCAGCAGCCGCAGGUCAUGACCAGACAGACGGCAGGAAGGGUGACCACCUGCCGGACAUGUACAGGCAGACGCCCGUCCUCCAGCUUAGCUCAAACCAUCAAGUGCCUACGGAGCAGUCAUGUUUGAUCCGGCAAACCUGCUCUGCGGCAUUAGAGGAGCUUUUAUUUCUGCAGCUACAUUUUUGAGAGACGGCAGAGCAGGGCUGGGGGCUGCUGCAGGCCGGCAGGGGUUUGGCGGUACCUCCCCAGGUGUCCGCCCCCGGGUGGGGUGCAGGACCAGACAGAGAUGAAUAUCUAGGAGAACUCUGAGGCCUGCCGGAUGGUACACACUGGCGAGUGCAGGAGCCAAUCUGUGCACCUGCAUCUAUUUAAUAUGGUUGAGACAAUUCCAUCAAAAGAGUGGGGAGCAGACAAGGCAGUGAGGGACUCGCGCUACCACAGAGUUCAAAUCCAACAUGUGGGACACAGUGCGUUUACUGCUCAAGCACAAGAUCAUAAAAAUAUUUCUAGCCUUACUUAAAAAUUUUCAAUAUUUUAAUUAUACACGCACAUAUAUUCUUAUAUCUUCUUUCUGUGAGUUUAUGCAAAAAUGCUUAAAACAUCCAAAGGCAAGAAUGGGAGGAGUGGGCAAGUCAGACUCUCAGAGCUGGAGAUGAUCUUCAGCAUCGUCUGAUGCUUUCUGGGUUGUCUCCCCCUGUUUGAGGAAACUGAAGUUCAGAGAAGAUUAUAACUUAUUCCAGGUCCCAUGAGGAGCGGCUGAGUCAGAACCGGAACUCAGAACUUGUGAUCCAGAGACUGGACUGUGCCCACAUCACACUGCCUUUAAAAUUAAACACACUCACACACUUCCUUAAUGACAGACCAAAGACGGUUCUGGUUGCUGGGUUUGCUUUUUGACACAAGUCUUCCAAGACGAGCCGUCUCCGUAGCACCUUGCUGGUGAAUCAAAGGCGUGAGUAGCCCUGGUUUAAGAAUAAAAUGUAUUGACUGCAAGAGUACAAUAUUAUUCUCUGGCCUUAUAAAUAAUGUUCCAUUUCAGGUGCUUUUCUUACAGUCUGCCUUUCAGAACCAGUUUGGAUCAACCACAUGAGUUUCAGAGACAAGCUUCCCAAACACCAGGUGGGGGCAGAAAAGCCCCCUUUGCAGGCACUCUGUGCCCCGAAUGUGCUGCUGUCACAGGUCUGUACGAGAUCCCCAGCCCUGCCUACGGCUCUCAGGGCACCAGUUACAAAGAGCUGUGGCCAGGUAAAGAGCAGGAGGGCUGAGAGGCCAUGGUGCGAGGAGCCAGGUGCACCCCAGAAAUGGGCGCCUCCUCUUCCUUAUAAUGUGGCUGCUCAGACAACCAUAACCAUAUCGGUGUAAACGUCACACACAACUGUAGCUUAAGUAGGCUGGGGCAAACAGGUUAUUUUUUUACAGUUGCAAAGUUUUUACAUUUAUGUGAAAUGAUACAAUGUUAACUCUAAAGAGACAGAGACAAGUGAAGGAUGUACACUGUUACCCCUAAAGCAACCACAGGGGAAAAAAGCAAAAAAGACAUAGCUCCAGAAGACAAUAGAUAAGUUAAAAUGGAAUUCUAAAAAUCAACUCAAAAAUAAGACAAUCAGAAGACAAAUAGCAAAAGGACAGAUUUCCAGUCAUCAAUAAUUACAAUCAAUGUAGAGAAUGAGACUCUCCGAAGAAAGGCAGAGAUAUUCAGAGUGAAUGUAAAAAAGGGAGACCCAGUGAUAUGCUGUCUACAAGCGACGCACUUUUAAUGUAAAUGCACAGAGGGGUGUGGGUAGAGCUCAGUGGUAGAGCGCGCCCUUAGCAUGCACGGGGGUCCUGGGUCCAAUCCCCAGCAUCUCCAUUAAAUAAACAAAAUAAAUAAAGGAGAUCAAUCAAGUUGGGACCAGAGUUUGUUUUUUUUUAAAAAUGUAAAUACACAGAUAAGCUGAAAGCAAAAGGAUGGGGGAAGGCACACCAUUUGUCACUACAUUAACAUCAGAUCUAAGACACGUGAAGACAAGGUAUCACUGGAAAUAAAGAGGGACAUUUCAUAAUAAUGAAAGUGUCAAUUUAUCACGAGGUCCUAACAGUCAUAAAAGUGUAUGAGCUUAACAAAAGAGUUUUGAAGUAUGUGCAGCAAGACUCAGCAGACAGCAGGGAGAGGCGGACUGGUGCAUGUCCGCACAGAGGCACCGGGCUCCGCGUCAGCAGCCCCUGGGCAUGUUCUGUACCCGUCGCCCACGGAUCAAGAGAAAAACCCUUUCCACUCUUGUGAUCAGGGAUCCAGCCAAUCAGAAGGAAGCUGUCUGCUCCCCACCCCUCGCUACUGUUACAGGAAGUAGAAACUUGCAGGUGGGUUUGUGGUGCUAAGUUUGGCUGUGAAAGGCUAACUGGGUUCAGCUGCUGGCGGGUCAAGCAGGUAGGCUGACACCUACUGCCCCCCGCACGGCAGUGGGUGCUCUAGAGGUGGUCCCCCUCGCUUAGAGGUGGGGGUCAUCUCCUCCAUCGGUGAGGUCACAGGGCACCUGACACCCAAACUCCUCGUGGUCCUUUCCCCCUUGGGAGCGACCCUCUCAUCAGAGAAUAGCAAUGACCCUGAAUUUGAAGAAGGAUGAGGCUCAGCUCUUAAUAUACAGAAAUUUUAAACCCAACACCCCCCGUCUCUGCGGAGGAAAUUAGUCCAAUACUAACUAUAAUUACUAAAUUACAAUUCCCCCAAUUUUUUCUUAUUGCAGAAAGGAAGAUUCCAUUCGCAGAUUAAAUUACUUUUCAGCAAAAUUAAAUACGUAACAAAAGCAAACGAAAUCCGGCAUCAGUGAGGUGUGCCUAUCCUGUUCAUCAGCAACCACGAGCUUUACACACUCUUAUUUUAAAACAGCAACUGAACAUUGAAAAGUAUAAGCGGUUGAAGUGUUUCUGGUUAAAUCACAGUGUAAGUGAUUUAAGCUCAGCUCUGAUUUCAAAAAACAAAACAGAACAGGGAAACAGGAAGUCAUUAUGAAUGACAAUAAGAACAGGUGCCAUUUGUCCCCCGACUGAUGGACGGAAGAUGAAGGGGACUGGUGAGGUGAGUACUAAUGUCACCACGCUUACAUGUGAGGAACCGGGGGGCACAGCCCCAGAAACGAGGACAGAUAAGGAAUAUCAAUUCCACAGUCAGACUCAGACUGACUGGUGACAUGUGGUCAAGAACUGCACACUUUUGGCUGGGUGUGCAAUUGAAUUAUUUUUAUGAGAAGACCACGUUGGAAUUUAUCCUAAGGAAAAAGGAUGAAGAUGUGUUUAAGUAUUUAGCUAUGAAGAUAUUUGCUGAAGCUUUAUGAAACUGAAAAAUAUGAGGCUGUCUAUAAAUGUCCAGUGAUGAGACAGGUUAAGAAAUCACUCCCUCCCUCCCACAAACACACACACACCCCCCGACACAGCAGGAAACAUGUUGAGAAGGUCUGUUUCUGAGCCUGAACGAUGUUUGCCCUGGUUUGUUAUGGGGAGGGGUAAACUGAGACACAAGACAGAGCAUUACGUGCAGUCUAGUCCUAAUAGUAAAAUCUCGUCGGCAGACUUGCAUGUGUAAUUAUACAUGUAGAAGGAUCCGGUCGUAUAAACACCAAAAUGCUAUCCGUGACCACCUCUGGGUUUGGGGAUUUGGGGUGACUUUUAUUUUCCUGUUUUUACUUGCGUUUCCUGCACGAACACGAGGUACUGACAGAAUAGAGAACACGCGUGAACAGUGGUAAGGCGGCCUGCCCAGGCCUUUUCUACUUUUACCCUCCUUAAGUUCUUUAUUAAAGGCUUUACCCCAGUGAAAUUCCCAGUGUUUGCAGGGCUCUUCAUAAACGUGCUCUCUGCACUCGGUGCACGCCAGCCCGGUCACCCCGAGCGCGGCCAGGGCUCCCGGCCCGGGCGGCCGGCCGCCUGGCCUCGGUUAGCAGGCUGUGCGCCCUGGCCUCCCAGGCGCCGCGCCCGCCGCCGAUGGCGCGGGUACUGUGUGACGUGACUGAGUCCCCCAGAGGGCACGUCCAGGUCCUGACCGCCGGCACCUGUGACGGCGCCUUGUGUGGAAGUGGAGCGGCUGCAGAUGGAACUAGCUGCGAGGAGGCCACACCGGAGCAGGGCGGGCCCUUGAGCCGGCGUGACUGGCGCGCUCAUAAGGAGAGAGAGCGGCGGGAAGGGGCCCCGCAGCCGGGAGCCGCAGGCGGGGUUCUCCACGGGGACCCUUGGAGGCAGGGCGGCCCUGCUCACACCCUGACCUACGGCUCCCCGCCUCGUCACCCGAGCGGGCCCACUGACGCAGCGCAGCGGGAGGACACGCCCGGGGCUUCCCUGCCGCUACCGCGGCCGCCUGCUGCGGCCCUCGCCCCUCGACUCGCGGCGCUCGGGGGCUGGGCCGCGCCACCCCCUCUCCUGCGAGGCCUGAGCACCACAGCAGCCUCGACGAGGCCUUGGGGACAGUUCUCAGAGCAUCAGUGUCGUCCCGGGUAACCUGGACUGAGAGCACUGGCUUGCGGUCCUCUCUGAGAUUUCUGGAAGCCUCUUGCCAGGAGCGGGAGUGGGGCAGGUAGCGGUGGUGGUGGUAGCGCCACGUCCCAGCAGGAAUCACAGUUCACCCGGACGGACAGCAUUAACACAGAAGCUUUGCUGAAACUACUACUGAGAGGGGUGGCCGGGGUGAAGGGGACAAACGAGGGACGCGAGACAUCUGGAGACCAGCAGCAGGGGGCCGUUCCGCCCCGGAGCCGGUGGAGCGGGCGUGCCUGAGGGCAUGGCUGUGGGCCCGUCUCUGAGGACAGUCCGCGCUGCACCUGGUCUCGGCACCUCCGGUCCGCGGCCGGUCUGACCAUCUUCCAAAGCAAACGAGAGCGUGACUCCCGAGCUCCCGGGGUGCCCCACGCCUGGAGCAGCAGGCACCCCAGGGCUGCACAGACUUCUAAGAAAUCCAGUCCUAUAAACUUUCAGCAUUCAGGUCACCCGCGGCACCUUUGCUCAGCCAGACUGUCCCCUGCAGGCCACCGGCCAACGUGGUGUCCAGGUGGCGCAUGUGGGUCACACCACUGUGCAGAGGGUGGCGGACCUCAGUCCGAGGCUGGCCCUGCAGCUCCUGACAAGGCUCACAGGUCAUCGCGCCUUAAGUGCUGCUUCAUACCCCGUGUCCUUAUGCUGCUGUGUAUAAUAGUAAUGAUGGUGGUGAUAAGACCUCCACGGCUCCCAGGAAGGAGGGAGGAAGGGGCCGUGAGCGUCCUUCCUCCAGGCAGGGCUUGUUGCACGUCUCACGGCGAAGUCCUGAGUAAACGCAACCCGAGCUCAAACACGGCCUUGAACACUAUGUACUUACCAGGCUGAAAUCCAGGUGGCCGCAAGGGGCGACAACAGCCUGCUGGCUGAGAUGUCUCUCCUGGAGCCGUCUGGACACGGGGGGGACUGUGCUUCAGGGUCACUGCAUGGGGCCUGUGGCUCCUCCGUCCCCACAGUGUCAUCUGGUCUCUGCUGCAGGAACACAGGGAGACCAAAACAGGACUCAGGAAGGCACUCUGUCUUCAAAGAGAGGACCCAGAAGUUGCCGGUGGCACAUCUGCUCGCAUGACAUCAGCCCUGUGACCACGCCUGGGCACACGGGAGCCUGGGAGACGAGGUUGUGUGUCCAGCGACAACUCAGGGGUUCUGUCUGUAAACACCUGGUUUUUAUGUAUCUUAUAACGUAUGCGAGAUGUCAGCACAGCCAUGCACGUGUAAUUCACAGACACACUGACACACUUAUUUAGGGUGACAGCUAAGCCCGGUGUAACCAACGGGAACAUGUGAUCACAAGGGUCGCAGAGGGAGGCGCUGCUUUGGGACAGGUCCCUGGCGCUCUCCUUACUUGCGGCAAGUGAUGACAAAUCCCUCCUUCUCCUCCCCAGGGAAAAGGGGCUUCUGCAGACGUCAGCCCUGGGUAUAAGGGCUAAGCCACUCAGCAUGGCCUCGGGUUUGGCCACACGAACUUCCCCCACUUGUCUAGAUGCCCUACCGACCGGCCAGCCAUGCUCCGACAUUUGGGGUGCUCACGCCAAAGCCCCUCUUCCUCUUCCUCCCUGUGAUUGGACAGGCUGGAGCGCCACACCCCCGAGGGGCCCUCUGCAUGAACCUCUACAAUAAACCUGCCGGGAUGCGGCGGACGGUGGCCCUGUGUCUCGGGCUGCAGGGCUCCUCCCGUUUGUCGACGUCUGACCCCGCGAGCCUGUGACCGCGGUAUCCCACGUGCCAAGGGAACUCUGCACGUGUGGUCGAGUCAAGGCUCUUGAGAUGGGGGGAUUCUCCUGGGUCACCCAGGCGGGUCCUGUGUCACCACGAGGGUCCUCAGACGGGAAGGAGGGAGUUGGAGGAGGAAGCGGGCUGAUACACAGCAGCAGCUGCGAUCCAAGGAGUUGGGGGUCUCCCCUGAGCCUCCAGGAGGAACACAGCCUGCCGACCCCAUGAUUUUAACUCACAGAAGCCUGUUUGGUGUCUGACCUCCUGAGAAAAUGUGCAUUGUUUCAAGCCACCAAGUUUAGGACAAUCUGCCAGCCCAGCGUCAGGAAACCCACGCGACGUCCUUCUCUGGGAGCUCACAAGCCCGCAGGACAUAGGCAGGAGCCGAGCCUCUGUGCGCAGUGUAUACAGCAGAUGCUCAGUGAGCGUUUGUGGAAAGCAAACAAUGGGGGUGGGGGGCAGGGAGGGCAGUAGCUUCCGGCUCAGAAGGACCAGGAUUUGAACCCCUGCUCUGACGCUACUUCAUGCAUGCAACAGCUCUGAGCACACUUCUCAGCUCAGGACUCAGCAGCUGCACCUGCGACGUAGCAAAUGACACCUUCUUUCUGGUGCCUGCGACGAUUAAACAACAGAGGCCUUAUGGGGCGUCUGUAUUUUGGGCAAUAACCAAGGAAAACAGGCCGUGAGCACGACGACCUCAGACGCUGUCCCCCGCCCACUCUGCUUCCCAGCUCCACAUCCUCCCUCCCGGCUACGCCCCCUUCACCCCAGAAACCCCGUUCUUGACAGUGAACUCGCCUACAGACCUGGCCUCUUCCCCAGGUGCUCCCACACUCCAGGGCUUGGCAAAACCGGCCUCCCCUGCAGACACCGCUGGGCUGCUGGCCGAGGUGGGGAUGCCCGCUCUCCCACGGACCUUAGUCCACGGUCUGUAACGUCCACCCAAGCUGGGCGGCUUCAAACAACAGGAGCUUAUUCUCAGUUCUAGAGGCUAGAAGUUGGAACCCAGGGACCGUGAGCACCAGGCUCGCUCUGGCGGCCCUAGGGGAGGAGGCUUCCCGCCCCCGGAAGCCCCCGGGGGCUCCGGCCAUCCUCGCAUCCCCUGGCCUGGAGCUGAGCACUCAACCUCUGCCUCCAUCGCUCCGAGGCCCCGUCCUGUCAUACUGGAUUCAGGGCCAGCUAGACUCCGGGUGACCUCCGCUUGACUACUCACAGCUGUGAUGACCCACUUUCCAAAUAGGGCUGUGCUCUGAGGUCCUGAAAAGGACAUGAUCUGGGGGACACGAUCCAAUCCAGCGCGCCCUCGCUGCCACAGCCACUUGCUGUUCUCUGAGUCACUGACUUCAUUCCUUGGGACCUGGGGACCCGGCAUCUCGUCUGCCUCCACAUCCCAAACCUACCAUCAGCCUUUGUCCUCCACAAGCAUGACCCGUCCGGACCUUGGCCUCUCCAUCCCCUGACCUGCAGGGCCCUGGUGACUCGCUCGACACCAAUGCAGUCACCUAAUCCCAAGGCCACGCUGUGACUUCGUCAUCAUCUGCAGAUGCUGGCCUCUGAAACCACACAUUCAUAGAGCCUCCUGUGUGACCAGGGGUGCUUCUCCUCCAGACUGUGUGUCCAGGAACAAACGUGCAGGUGCCUGGGCCACGUCAGUGGGCAAGCGAAGAUCCCCGCACCGCAGAGAUGACACCGAGUCCUCAUGGCAUUCUGCACGGUUCUUCCUCCCGAGAGCACAGGAGGUGCCUGUCCCCUGCCGGCCUCCCCUCUGCUGCCUGCCUGCCCUGCUGGGGCUCUGAGACCCCAUCAGCUACCAAUAUGCUCACCUGCCUUGUCCCAGUGUCCUUCUGUCCCACCUGGAAGAACCCAGGUGGUAGCACAGAGGAACCGUCCCACCCCCCUGCAGACCGUGUGAAAUCCAUCCAGACCCCAAGGAGGCUCUCAGCACUGAAAGGAGCUGUGCUUACUUCUAACCAGCUCCGCCCUCACUGCACGGGCGGGUGGCCUCUGCUCCUCCAGGAAACACUGAAACUGCUCGAAGGCAGCACCCCAGCCCGCCACCGCCUGUGGUCCCUGGCCUUCCUCUGCAGGGCGCCCUCCAGGGAUGACCUGUCCAGCCUCCGCAGGACUCUUCAGACUGUUCUUGCAGAACAUGUUGGCUCUCCACAGGCCUGCCUGGAGGACAGCACCAGGCAGCUGAAUGCGCUUCCGCGGACAGCUGCAGCCACGCGGAUGAGGCGUCGUCUCUGUUUCCUCCUCCUCCUCUUCCCCUCACUCUUGCUGGGAUGACACUUGCCAAUGAAGUCUUAGCAAGUAAGCUAAGUCACGCCCCCCCCCCCACAGAAGUAGUGUCAUCCUGCUAUCAGAACGAUGACACGCACGCUUCACACCCACUGGGAUAACUAGAAUCAGAAAGGCAGACAACGGCAAGGUUGGUGAGCACGUGGGGGAACCAGAACCCUCACACGCUACUGGUAGGAACACAAAGUGGAACAGCUGCUUUGGAAAAGAGUCCAGCAGAUCCAUAAUGACAGAGUUACCACGUGACGGGCAGGUCCACUCCUGGCAGCUCCACCCAAGAGACGUGAAAACACGUGCCCACACAGACACUCACACACCAGGUGUUUGUAGAAACAUUAUUCAUCAUAGCUAAACAGGGAAAACAACGCACUGGUCCAUCAGCUGGUGAACAGGUAAACAGAACGUGACUGUCUCCACACAAUGGGUCGUUACUUGACCAGGAAGAAGUACUGACACGCGAUACAGAUGAGCCCUGAAAACAUGACGCUAAGGGACAGAAGCUGGACACAAAGGACCACAGGUUAUAUACUCCCGUUCAUGCAGAACUCCAGAACCAUAACCAGACUGCACAGGGAAACUGCGCAGCCAGAAAGGGGAUCAUGGUUGCCUAGGGCUGGGGAGUGGAGGCCGGGAGGGUGGACUGGGGGUGGGCAAGGAGGGUGACAGCUGAGGCACACAGUGUCUUUCUGGAUCAAUGAAAAUGUUCUAAAACUGACUGUGGUGUUGGUUGCACAACUUUGUGGAUAUAAUACUAAAGACUAUUGAACUGUACACUUUAAAUGAGUAAAUUUCACG